GGGUUGUGAGGUUAAGCGACUAAGCGUACACGGUGGAUGCCCUGGCAGUCAGAGGCGAUGAAGGACGUGCUAAUCUGCGAUAAGCGUCGGUGAGGUGAUAUGAACCGUUAUAACCGGCGAUUUCCGAAUGGGGAAACCCAGUGUGUUUCGACACACUAUCAUUAACUGAAUCCAUAGGUUAAUGAGGCGAACCGGGGGAACUGAAACAUCUAAGUACCCCGAGGAAAAGAAAUCAACCGAGAUUCCCCCAGUAGCGGCGAGCGAACGGGGAGGAGCCCAGAGCCUGAAUCAGUGUGUGUGUUAGUGGAAGCGUCUGGAAAGGCGUGCGAUACAGGGUGACAGCCCCGUACACAAAAAUGCACAUAUUGUGAGCUCGAUGAGUAGGGCGGGACACGUGGUAUCCUGUCUGAAUAUGGGGGGACCAUCCUCCAAGGCUAAAUACUCCUGACUGACCGAUAGUGAACCAGUACCGUGAGGGAAAGGCGAAAAGAACCCCGGCGAGGGGAGUGAAAAAGAACCUGAAACCGUGUACGUACAAGCAGUGGGAGCCUCUUAAUGGGGUGACUGCGUACCUUUUGUAUAAUGGGUCAGCGACUUAUAUUCUGUAGCAAGGUUAACCGAAUAGGGGAGCCGAAGGGAAACCGAGUCUUAACUGGGCGUUAAGUUGCAGGGUAUAGACCCGAAACCCGGUGAUCUAGCCAUGGGCAGGUUGAAGGUUGGGUAACACUAACUGGAGGACCGAACCGACUAAUGUUGAAAAAUUAGCGGAUGACUUGUGGCUGGGGGUGAAAGGCCAAUCAAACCGGGAGAUAGCUGGUUCUCCCCGAAAGCUAUUUAGGUAGCGCCUCGUGAAUUCAUCUCCGGGGGUAGAGCACUGUUUCGGCAAGGGGGUCAUCCCGACUUACCAACCCGAUGCAAACUGCGAAUACCGGAGAAUGUUAUCACGGGAGACACACGGCGGGUGCUAACGUCCGUCGUGAAGAGGGAAACAACCCAGACCGCCAGCUAAGGUCCCAAAGUCAUGGUUAAGUGGGAAACGAUGUGGGAAGGCCCAGACAGCCAGGAUGUUGGCUUAGAAGCAGCCAUCAUUUAAAGAAAGCGUAAUAGCUCACUGGUCGAGUCGGCCUGCGCGGAAGAUGUAACGGGGCUAAACCAUGCACCGAAGCUGCGGCAGCGACACUAUGUGUUGUUGGGUAGGGGAGCGUUCUGUAAGCCUGUGAAGGUGGCCUGUGAGGGUUGCUGGAGGUAUCAGAAGUGCGAAUGCUGACAUAAGUAACGAUAAAGCGGGUGAAAAGCCCGCUCGCCGGAAGACCAAGGGUUCCUGUCCAACGUUAAUCGGGGCAGGGUGAGUCGACCCCUAAGGCGAGGCCGAAAGGCGUAGUCGAUGGGAAACAGGUUAAUAUUCCUGUACUUGGUGUUACUGCGAAGGGGGGACGGAGAAGGCUAUGUUGGCCGGGCGACGGUUGUCCCGGUUUAAGCGUGUAGGCUGGUUUUCCAGGCAAAUCCGGAAAACCAAGGCUGAGGCGUGAUGACGAGGCACUACGGUGCUGAAGCGACAAAUGCCCUGCUUCCAGGAAAAGCCUCUAAGCAUCAGGUAACAUCAAAUCGUACCCCAAACCGACACAGGUGGUCAGGUAGAGAAUACCAAGGCGCUUGAGAGAACUCGGGUGAAGGAACUAGGCAAAAUGGUGCCGUAACUUCGGGAGAAGGCACGCUGAUAUGUAGGUGAAGCGACUUGCUCGUGGAGCUGAAAUCAGUCGAAGAUACCAGCUGGCUGCAACUGUUUAUUAAAAACACAGCACUGUGCAAACACGAAAGUGGACGUAUACGGUGUGACGCCUGCCCGGUGCCGGAAGGUUAAUUGAUGGGG
rnacentral:rRNA from 1 species